GCCACCUUGGCACAGGCAUAGCUGGCUGUGACGAACAAGAGACUGGGCACAGAAAAAGAAGAUCUGAACAACAUCAGAGGAUAGCAGUGCGUAGAAGUAGCGUGCCAGCGAACGGGCAGCGUGCCAGUUUGUACUCGUGGCACACCCGAAGCGGAGAAAUCGGAUGGCGGGGAACUGUCAUAGUCAAAGACAACGGAACUCACCUCCGAGGAUUUGCUACUAAUCACCAUUUGUUUGCCCGGACAAAGCCAAGACAAAGUGCCCGGGCAACGGUUGCCAGUGAUUCUGUGAUGGCAUCCUUUGUGGGCCAGCGAGGGCACGAGGAGGAAGAUGGCACGCUGCCAAGACAACAUAAUACACACAUUUGUAAACAAAAACCUCCAUACGGCGAGCAAAAGCUUUCUGGUGCCCUGAAUGUUUUCGGCGAUGGCAUCCCCUCAAGGGAGAGGCGAGAAACACAGAUGGCACCAUGCCAAACACAAACAGCGAAGCGUUCACGGGCGCCAUCCGAAGCGAUGCGAAAACUUGGUAAACGGAGACACAAAAUAGUCGUAAAAAGGUUAAAACUAUUGCCACAGAUGGAGCCGUGGCAGGAGUACGGGACAAAAAAUCGCUUCGUCGAUGCCAACUCAGCUCAGUGCCAACUGCUGCUGCACUGAAACAGAGGCUGCUGCCCAAUUCAAAGAACUGAGACAAGGGAUUGUACCAUUCUGCUAUGGAGAGGAAGACCAUGCACAGAAGGAAUAAUGAGCAAAAUGAAUAAAGGAUGUACGGGAACAGAAAAUGAGGAAUUUCGUGCUUAACGAAGAACAGUGGGAGUGGGUGGACAAGGAUGAUGAAGAGCCUUUUCCUGCACUUGCACACCUGGGAUGUUCUUAAAGGGAUAUCCCCUCACGCCGCUGCGUGUUAAAGGGAGGGAUGUGUUGGCAUCAUCUCCAGGGUGUCAAGCUGUGUUUCUCUAUUGCCAGUCAGGGAGGGUGCUGCAGUCGUCAGGGGCGGGCAACUGUCUGGGCAUCUCAUCUGCAGCUAAUUAACAGCCACACACUAAUUCUAACAGCCGAUCAUAAUUAGCGAUUUAAUCGCUCCUCAACGCUUUUCUCCCCCCUAAAUUGAGCCUCCUAUUUGGACACGUGCGGAUAAGCUAAGGAACGCCGGAUCCCCCCGCCCCUCCUCCUCCUCGUCCUUCUUUCCUUCAUCCUUGGCUCCAGACUCCAGUGGGAUCUUAAUUAAGCCUGGGCUUCAUUAUGCAAAUGGAGUACAAUAAACGACAGCAGAGGUGGAGCUGGAUACAGACUAAAACGGAACAGUGGGAGGGGAGCGCUGGAAUUGGAAAAUGAAGAGAUGUUGGAAGGUUACCAAAAGCUUGGAUAUGAUGUUACUGCAUCGCAAUAGGUGUAUAUUGUUGUAACAUGUGUCCUCCUUGUGUCACGACCACGCUCGGUGCGUGAGAACCAACGCUUGUGCUCUGAUGCUACAUCUCUGCUGCCACUGGGAAAACUUCUCCGAAAUAACACUGGAUAUGCAGAAUGUCAUCUCUGCACAAAGAGAAAUUCAUAAGGGAUUGGUGACAAUGAACCUUUUUAAUAUCACCAGUUGGCUGUUGUCGUGGAUACGAAGAAAGAUGGUAGCGAUAGGGAGUGGGAAAAGAGGCAGACAGAAACACUGACAGUGGCAGCAGCAUGGCAGCUAAUGUCAUCUCAGUUUAAUCAUCGCAUAGGAUCAUGGGGUUCAUGAAAAUUCAUUUGCAUAUCAUUAAAUGAAGAGAGGUUAUUUGGUGCGGGUAGCCAAAAUAGGAUUGGAUGAAGAAGGGAAAAAAAAAAAGGAAAACGGAGCGACUCAUUAUUAAACAGCAAUGUUUUAUAGUCUGCCAGCCGAUUCAUUUAAUUUGGGCGUAAUUAAAAUGUGUCAGACUCAAUCAAUCAUUCCUACAGGGAUGCUAUCAAUGUCUCAGUCUGAAAAAAGACUAAUCAGAGGAUAUGCAGUCGGACAUCUUCCAAUAACAAUUUGAUUGCUUUAGUCUACUUUGAGCUUGACCAAUCAACUUUUCUUCUUUUUUUUUUUUUUUACCUCAAUUAUCUGAAGGUGUAUGUCAAAACAUCCUGUUUAACUUGUGUGUUGGGUCAAGACAUGUCUGUCUCUGACAGGUGGCGAUGCCACUCUGCGUUAGUCAGUAAGAGGCGAGCUCUCGCUGUCUUUUUGACCUCAGUAUUAAGCUGCCCACGUAUUACUAAGAUGUCUACGUACGUGCGUGCGUGUGUGCAUUUCUCAUUUGCAUAAGUGAUGUAAUUAGACCACCCUUUCACAUGCAGAUCAGUUUGACAACAUGGCAAUCAUUCUAACACACACACACACACCAGACACACACACACACCAGACACACACACGACAACGCACGCUUGCUGCCGUGACCACCCCCAUAUCAUGGGGAGUCUGUUGUCUGUGAGCAGAGAGUGUAAAGAUUAACAUAAUCCAGCUAAUAAGUGUGAGUAAUAUUCACACAGUGACGCGUGGCGUAGACACUGUCCUGCUGAUGCGUAUUUGUAUCUCAUUAUAGAUGUAAAGUACUGUGGCCGCCAGUGGGUCGGGAGGGGUUACUCGGGAAGGGGAUACAUUGUGGGUGGGGGAUGGUGAGAGGUCACAAAGUGUUGGCCUGAAUGAAGAGACGCCGAAAAAUAGCAAUAACCAGCAGUUUUGAAGUUAUUCACAUCAUAAUAGCAGGGAAAUGUAAUGUAAUGUGAUAAUAUAGAGAGAAAUCACUGAGGAAAGCCCUGUAACCAGGGUGUGGAGAUUGGCAAAGAGUGCCUUUUUAUGUCUAAAAAAAUCAGCAAUGUAGUUCAAUAGUUUUUGUCUUUUUGUUUACUAAACUGGGAAGGCUCAGAGAGUCAGUUUUUGCAGCAGAAUGUAGGAAUUAUAAAUAGAGUGUAUUUGCGCUUGCAGGCUAGCUCUGCCACAUGAUUGAUUAGGAUGGUGUGACGACCAUUAAAAAGUCAUUUAAAAGAUGGAUAGGGACCACAUUUCCAAAUAAAAACCACUUUAUACCUGAUGAAGUGCUGAACAAACUCUCCUUCAAAGACAUUUACUGAUUGCUCUCGAGGUAUGAGCAAGUGUAAUGUAGGAAGUACCCAUGAACUGAGUGGAGCUCUGCAUCAGGAGCGGAAUACUCCAAAAGCAGUCAUCUGCACACAGUCAGUGAUGAAGCUUAUAUUUAAAAAAAA